AAUCAACGCUGGCGGCGUGCCUCAGACAUGCAAGUCGAACGCGAAAGGUUCCUUCGGGAGCCGAGUAGAGUGGCGCUCGGGUGAGUAACACGUAGGUAAUUUGCCUUUGGGUGGGGAAUAACAAUCGGAAACGGUUGCUAAUACCGCAUAAUGCAGCGGCUCGACAUCGAGACAGUUGUUAAAGCGGGGGAGUCCUUCGGGACCUCGCGCCUAAAGAGAAGCCUGCGGCGGAUUAGCUAGUUGGUGAGGUAAUGGCUCACCAAGGCGACGAUCCGUAACCGGCCUGAGAGGGCGGACGGUCACACUGACACUAAUACGGGUCAGACUCCUGCGGGAGGCAGCAGUCGGGAAUUUUGGGCAAUGGGCGAAAGCCUGACCCAGCAACGCCGCGUGAAGGAUGAAAUCCCUCGGGAUGUAAACUUCGCAAGAACGGGAAGAAUAAGCGAGAGUAAAUACCUCUCGUGA
rnacentral:rRNA from 1 species